GACAGAGGAGCCAAGCGUUGUCCGGAUUGACUGGGCGUAAAGCGCACGCAGGCGGUCGCGCGCGUGGGGUGUGAAAUCUGGCCGCUUAACGGCCAGGCGCCAUCCCAUACGGCGCGACUGGAGUGAUGCAGAGGUCGAUGGAAUUGCCGGUGUAGUGGUGAAAUGCGUAGAGAUCGGCAGGAACACCCAGGGGGAAACCAGUCGACUGGGCAUCUACUGACGCUGAGGUGCGAGAGCGUGGGUAGCGAACCGG
rnacentral:rRNA from 1 species